UCUGGAGGAUGUUUUGUUGAUGUUAUAACUUUUAUUGUUUGCAAGCUUUCGUUUAGAAAAUUUUACAGGUAUUUGCAGCUAUGAAUAUAUGCAGCUGAUGGUUUUCUCAUUCUCCCGUCAGUGGAGAUGCCCCCAGAAAACAUUCAGUAUGCGUUUUUUCAUAAGUUCAGAGUGGCAUAGACUGGACAUUCAUUUCAGUGAAGUCCAUUUCAUGUGAGGGCAUGCAAUCUAUGCAUUAUGGCCGGAUGAGAUUUACAAUACUUGCAGCCACAUUAGAUUUUUUUGAGCUUAUAUGACUUACAAUACUUUGCAUUUUGAUGUUGCUCCAUGCCUUUCCUUGAAGGAGAUAUGUGGAACUAUGUGGUGAGGAGCACCCGGUUGUGAAGCAUCGGCAGUGAGGCCACAUAGUUCCACACAUAAUUAAAAUAUUGAUGACAGGAUAAACUGCCUACUCCUGUAGUCUUAUUGUUUGAGUGGUUCUGCUGCGAUUCGUUAAAUAAGUAGCUCAUUCUUCAAUUAUGCUAAAUGCAACUAUAUAAUUCUUUUGCAGUUGAUGAAGUAAGAACCAUAUGGACCUGAUCAAGUCCUGUAGUUAGAGGGCAUGAGCUCAAUUGAUGGAGAAACACGAAACUUACCUGAGUUUCUGGAAAAGCAUAUGAAGAAAUUGAGGAAGAACUACUUCUCUUAGAUCCAGAACCAAUUUACAUUUUCACGAUUAUAUUAUACCAAACAUGAGUUAAUCUUCUACUCUCACCGUUUUAUUUUAUUUUAUUUGCCUUGCAUUUAAUUUUUGAUUCAACGCAACUUCAUUUACCGAGGUCCUUCUAUCACUUGGAGUUACGACUAUUGGUGUUCUCCUUCACCGCGCUCUUGACAAAGUAUGUCAUUUCGCCAGCAAAUUAUACGGAUUUUAUUCAGGGACACGCUCAUGUGAGCUAUGCCCUCUUACUCAUGCCAUGAGUUGUUGCUGUUAUCGUCGUCAUCAUCAUUAUGAUCGGACUAUAGUUAUUUGAUUUCUUUACGCUGAGCUACCAACUCCUGUCCGCGCCAGCUUCAAGUGGCUCAAGGUCAGGCUCUCCGACGUCCGCUAAGCUGUCCGCGGUAGCUUUGAGUGGCUCAAGGCCAAGCUCUUUGACGUCUUCUAAGCUAGCCUCUGAACUCUGCUCUCAAUCUCUCAAAUCCUUUAGAGGCUCUCUCUAUACUUAUGUGUACUACUAUUGCUACUGCCAAUGAUCGCUAAACUGUACGUGUGUGUAGUACUACUAUUGAUGUACAUGCCGCCGCAGCAUUUCACCACUUGCAGAUUAAGAUGGUGGUUCCCAGGAAACAGACUGGAGCGAGGAUGCAGGUGUCUGCUGGGGAUUGCGAAGAUUCAGGAGGAGCGCGUCGUCGCCACCUCCUGGAGGAGCGCUCCCAUCUGCUCCGUCAGGUUGAGCGCCUUCACCGUCACCAGAUGGCCGUUCUUGCAUCGACAUGGCUGCACGAGCGUUCGGUCACAAGAUCAUGGCAUGUGAGGAAAGACGCGCUGUCAUGUAAAUUGCACAAUACUAUCACUUUACCGAUUUAGUGUUUUUUUACUGAAUAUUAGGACAGUUUUGUAUAUUUUAUAGUGUCACUAUUAAUUUGUUUGUUAUCUUAUCUGGAAGCUCCUUAUUUUUAUCUAAAUCAGGAAGGUAUUAAGACUAAUACAUUCAGUUAUUUUCCUCUGGUGGCUUUUCACUAAUGACACUCUUUUAUUGGUACUUCAGCUCAUGGCCGGUCUUCUCAAUAUUAUUUGCUUCCUUAAUUCCUGUGAUUUUCUAUAGAUGUUAUAUCUCAUUGCAAUGUCUUAAAUCUACAGGUUUUGUGGUAGGAGCAAAAAAGACAUGAUUGAUCUCACCGUGCGCUCUAAAAGGAAUCAUCACAAAGAUUGGAGAAGCUACUAGGACACUUCUUGUAGACUAAAAGCAUAGAUGGAGAACCAUUUUACCACAUGCGGAGCCCGAGCAAUGAGUUCCUCGCUUUACUAUCUUCAGGUGCAUGCCCAGACCCAUCUUUUGUCUUCUUGGAUAGAUGGUCUUGUGGUUAAGCAUAUAUUUUAAAAUGUUGCACCUACUGUUUAUAAAUUAGACUAUAUUUUCCUGGGAAGAUUUUGCACUAUAGCUUCCUAAGAUUUUGCACCUACUGUUUAUAAAUCAGACUACAAAUGUGCAAAUAUAAAUCCUUACAAGCUCGCUGCCUGAAGUAAGAAGUUCAACGUAACGAGAAAUUAGUUUCUGACCCUUCGGUAGAGAUACUAUGCGGAGAAACACUUGAUCGUCAUUUAGCGUUAGAGGCAUAUCCUUAUUAGGUGUAAGUGGAUCAACUAAUUGCAGUGAUUCUGCCAGCUGCUCGAGAAGAGCAUGUCUUCUGUUUCUCAGAUGCAAACCACCAGCUGCCUGUUGACUAAACUGAAGGAAACGAUCAAUAUCAUCCACAUCCAGUAGUAGGCAAAGAUCAUCUUCAGUUGUGAUUUUAGCAGCAAGCAUCUUCUCAAGAGAUUCUGAAGAAGAUUUCUCAGUAGUGCUAUCACUUGGUUCGGAGGCUUCUUCAACAUCAAGGAGCGGGGAAGGCCUGCGGAUGGAAGGAAAUGGGAGCUCCCCAAGAGCAUCAACCUGGAGAUACGACCAUGUGCCUCAUCCUUAGUGCGGCUCGAGAAGAUGGAUCUUUGAUCAAAGUUGGACAGAAGUGGUGCCUCGGUUGUUGUAGCCAAACAAGCUUGAUGAUAGUAAUCAUCAUUAUAUGAUGCGCCUCCUUUGUUGAUACAAUUGCCAUCCAGGUUUAUAGACACAACUAUUAUAUGGUUGUACUAAGUCCGUAUCGGCUACUUAUUUUGUGAUGUUUGUCUUUUCCUGGCUUCCUGGAGAGGACUAGGCUUUGAUGAAAACACAUGUUAUGCAAGCUCGUGUUUUAGGAAAGCAAUGA